rnacentral:rRNA from 1 species
UAAGAGAACAAUCGGUUGAUUCUAGUGGCGAACGGGUGAGUAAUACACGGACAACCUGCCUUUGAGAGGGAAAUAACCCCAUGAAAAUGGGGCUAAUGUCCCAUAUAAUUUCGAUAGCUCAUGCUAUUGGAAUGAAAGAUUUCGACUUCGGUCGACGUUACUCAAAGAGGGGUCCCUGGCCUACUAGUUAGUUGGUGUGGUAACGGCACACCAAGACUUUGAUGGGUAGCCGGUCUGAGAGGACGUACGGCCACACUGGGACUGAGACACGGCCCAGACUCCUACGGGAGGCAGCAGUAGGGAAUAUUCCACAAUGCCCGAAAGGGUGAUGGAGCGACGUCGCGUGGGCGAUGAAGGCCUUCGGGUCGUAAAGCCCUGUUGUAAAGGACAAAACGGACGGUACUUUACGAGGAAGCCUCGGCUAACUCUGUGCCAGCAGCCGCGGUAAGACAGAGGAGGCAAGCAUUAUCCGGAAUGACUGGGUGUAAAAUGUGCGUAGGCGGUUAAAUAAGUCAAAUGUGAAGUCCUGAGGCUUAACCUCAGAAUUGCGUUUGAUACUGUUUAACUUGAGUUCUAGGGAAGAAAGCGGAAUUCUCGGUGGAGCGGUGAAAUGCGUUGAUAUCGAGAGGAACACCAAUGGCGGAGGCAGCUUUCUAUUUGGAAACUGACGCUGAGUCACGAAAGCUAGGGGAGCAAACAGGAUUAGAUACCCUGGUAGUCCUAGCUGUAAACUAUGAAUACUGGGUGUAGGUUCUUAAUGAAUCUGUGCCGAAGCUAACGCGUUAAGUAUUCUACCUGGGGAGUAUAGUCGCAAGACCGAAACUCAAAGGAAUUGACGGGGGCUCGCACAAGCGGUGGAACACGUGGUUUAAUUCGACACUAAGCGAAAAACCUUAACCGGGGUUUGACAUGCUGAUAGUACGAUCCUGAAAGGGAAAGGAUUCCGACUUGGUCGGAAAGUCAGCACAGGUGCUGCAUGGCUGUCGUCAGUUCGUGUCGUGAGAUGUUGGGUUAAGUCCCGUAACGAACGCAACCCCUAUCCUUAGUUACCCCGAUGAAAAUCGGGGGUUCUCUAGGGAAACUGCCUCAGAUAAUGGGGAGGAAGGUGGGGAUGACGUCAAGUCCUCAUGGCCCUUAUAUCCCGGGCCACACACGUGUUACAAUGGGGUCGACAGAGAGUUGCAAUACCGCGAGGUGGAGCCAAUCUCUAAACGGCCCCCCAGUUCGGAUUGAAGGCUGAAAUUCGCCUUCAUGAAGUAGGAAUCGCUAGUAAUCGCGGAUCAGCAGGCCGCGGUGAAUACGUUCCCGAGCCUUGUACACACCGCCCGUCACAUCACGAAAGCUGGGGAUACUUGAACUCCGGUGUUAUGCCGGAGGAGAGUAAAAUCAGUGAUUGGGAUGAAGUCGUAACAAGGUA